UCCAGCUGAUCCCCUCCUCUCCAGCUGAUUCCCUCAGCUCCACCCUGCCUUCCUUUGUGCCACUGGGGAGCCCUGGAGAUGGAAUCCACCCUUCUGGAGCCAGAGGAAAAGCUCCUGCCCUGGUAAAGGCUUCCCCUGAAGGCUCUCCAGAGGCAGGUUUGUAUUUGGGAGUAUCAGCAAACCUGGCAGAGGAUUUGUCUUCAUGGGCAGGGACAGAGUGACUUUCACCCAGAGGUCAGUCCUUGGUCCACCUGGCCACGAAGCCAUCCUGGAGCACCCAGAACAUCUCUGCAGGUAUGAUCUGAAGAAACUGUGUGAAAAAGGACAACAAAACCUUAGUGCUGUGUUUGAGAAAGGUCCAAAUCCAGCUUUUUGGAGCUUCAGCUGCAGGAAGAUACUGGAUAAUGAUACAGAUCUUUAUGCACAGGAAGAUACUGGAUAAUAAUAAGGAUCCUUAGCCCAAGGAACUAAAGGAGAGGGAAUACUUUAGGGAUGGGGGAGUCAAACUGUAUUUAGGGAUGGAAGGGCUGUAGAAGCAGCUGAGAAAGCCUGGGAGAAGGUGUCAUGAUUUGUGAUAGCUGUGGCAUCCCAGGGUAACCAGAAGGUACCAGAAGGCACAAAGGCAGCAUCAAGCCCCCAGUCUCACAUUCUCUCUCUGCUGAAAUCCUACGAUUCUUGGGGGGGAAAAAAGUGAAGAGAUGAACAGGAGGCAACCUUGGCCACUCCUGGCACAAAAUCCCAGUGUGACCAUCCCCACUCUGCCCACUCUGCCUCCUGUUGCUACAUGAGCUGGCAGAGCUUCCAGAGGCCUCAGGAGAUUCAGAGGAGGAUUUACCAUGUGAUACCCAGCUGUUUAUGGCAAGGGCUCACUGGUGACCUCCAGGCAAAAUCUUGGCUCUGUAGGAAGUUCCUUUCACGGUGAAAUGGGAGGAAAAAAAUAGGUGAGGCCCAGGAAGAUGCAAAGAAAUAAGGGUUGGGAUGGAACAAGAAAUAAGGGUUGAAAUGGGACAAGAAAUUAGGGUUGAGGUGGAGCAAGAAAUAGAGGUUGAGGUGGGACAGGAAAUAUGGGUUGAGAGUGGGAAGAAAUGAGAGUUGGGAUGGAAAAAGAAAGAAGGGUUGGGAUGGGACAAGAAAUAAGGGUUGGGAUGGGACAAGAAGUAAAGGUUGGGAUGGAACAAGAAAUAAGGGUUGAAAUGGGACAAGAAAUUAGGGUUGAGGUGGAGCAAGAAAUAGAGGUUGAGGUGGGACAGGAAAUAUGGGUUGAGAGUGGGAAGAAAUGAGAGUUGGGAUGGAAAAAGAAAGAAGGGUUGGGAUGGGACAAGAAAUAAGGGUUGGGAUGGGACAAGAAGUAAGGGUUGGGAUGGGACAAGAAGUAAGGGUUGGGAUGGGACAA